rnacentral:lncRNA from 1 species
GUGGGAUUUUCUUGAAAAUGCGCGACAGAAAUUCAGCUAAAAUUUCUACGCGAGGAACGAUCUGGAGUAUGAGUAAUAUCUUCAUUCUUUGCAGUUUGUCACAGAUUAAAUGAUAAAGUUUGCAUGAUUUUGAAAAAAGAAUGAUUAUUAGCAAAUUAUUGGGGGGGCUGCAGCCCCCCAGCCCCCCCCCCCCGGUUGCUACGGCCCUGCAUUUUCAAACGACACACUACACGAAACGACGCCGCCAUAUUGCCUGAUUGUCAGCAUUGUUCUAUCGCCUUCUCAGCAUUCCGGCAAUGUUGAUUGGUUUUGAGCGCCAAAUACGCGACUUUGUAAAAAAUCUCAUAAUAAUAAUAAUAAUAACAAUAAUAAUAAUAAUAAUAAUGAUUUAUUAGCGAUUCCAAAUUGAAUUGGCUCUUCUAUCACUAAAUUAACUAAUCUACAUUAACAAGAUCUAUAUUUACAAUGAGUAGCUAUGAAGAAUUAAUACAUAUAUACAGUACAUUCACAGUACAUAUUUCACAAAUCAGAUGUAACAAAACAUAGUCAUUUAAACUCCGGCCCGAGCCUCUCGUGGACCAAGUCUGUGAGAUAGACUUUCACACUUGUUCUAAAAAUGUUGAAAUCUUUGCAAUUUCGCAAACUAUCUGGCAGAGAGUUAAAUGCAGUGUUUGAUAUUAUUACUCAAACACUACAAUACUUUUGUUUGUGGAAACACCACGUAAAUUUAUUACUGCAAAGGUUUCGAUCCGCAAGCUACACCACGUAAAUUUAUUACUACAAGCCAGGAUCUUCAUCAGUACUAAUAAUAAUGCCACCUAUUAUUAGCACUGAUGAAGAUCGAGGCACACGGAUCGAUAGGUUUGCAGUAAUAAAUCAAUUAUAUGUUACAUGACAUUACAUUAUUAUUCAGCUCACUUCCCAUUGGGGGUUUCAGUGACCGAUUACAUCAAGUAUUACGCCUACUUAUGUUACUUAGUUACUCUAGACUAUAUAUCUUUCCAACAAAUCUGAUUACUUUCUUAACUGUGUUUAUUCUAACCCACUCUGUCAACUUGGAGAAAACCCACGACUUUCGGCAGAGAUUAAAUUUGUGCCGUACUCAUUUUCGCUCAGCUUUAAAUUUGCGCGAUUUAAUUUAGCUAACCUUGUUGAGAAGUAUUCGUGCAGCUUUAAAUUAAUUUUGCGCAAGUAAUUUUCCGUGUUCGUUCUUUUUGGUUUGUUUAAAGAGGUUGUCAAGUCCGUUCUGCUCAUGCGCGUGUUUUGUUUACAUUUUUUGUUUCAAAUAAUAGAUAAUUUAAUUAAAAUUUCGAUCUGUGAGCCACAAGUUAGCUCAAUACGCAUUCAGAACCUCUUCGUAGACUUCGUGAACCAUCGUAAGACGCUUGUAAUGUUUCGUAAUGCCUCGCAGUGAUUUCCAUAGUCGUUUAAAAGCUCUAAUGUUAAAGUCAGUAAAAUGUGUUUGUGUUAACAUCGAGUUCUGCUGUCUAGAAAAUUGCUAAAUGGUUUCAGACUUUGUUACGCUUCUGUGUUUCUAAAAAUCGUGAAAAUGAAAUUUUGUUUUUCGUGAAAUCUAAAAAUGAUCUUCGUGAUUUCGUGACGAGACUCCCCAUCCCCCCUUCUAUUAAAAUUGCCCUACUUAAAAUGUAUUAAAUUAAUAUGGUGGCAAAUACAUGACAAGAAUUUUACACAAUCAUACAUUGCAAAGAGUUUGUUUGGUAGCCAUUCUCAAGUCGCCGUCCUCUAAACGUAGACUCCCUCAAUUAGAGAGGUUAAGAUACCCGGUUCCGGUUUAAGGGUACGAGUAUCGCCAUUUUAUUUAUCAAGUUUUGCUGAUGUCAGCAUUUUUACCUGUAAUUUCUACCCGUUCUCCCGCGGCAAACCAUGGUGUAUACCAUAGAUAUAGGAGAUCUAGAUUGCUAACGCAUACCUAGCGCAGGCGGGGCCUACAUGAUAAAUCCAAGAUGGCGGUACAAGAGGGCAAAAAGACUAUAGAUUCUAUUACGAAAAUGAAGAUUUUUGCAUUUUUUGCCGUCGCAUUGUUUUGAAACUUAUUCGGUCAAAUUUUAUGGUAAAGAGAAACUUACCGCUUGGAGUGACAGUUGACCAGCAUUUGUCUUGGAAAAGUAAUACUGACAAUAUUUGUAAGAAAAUAACAGCAGGAAUAUCGGCUCUUCUGCGUUUAAAAGAGUUUACUGAUAGACAAACUCUUAUUUCUGUAUAUAAUGCAAUUGUUCGGCCAUACUUCGAUUAUUGUUGUGAAGUAUGGGAUGUGUUUGGGAAAACACAAUCAAAGCGACUCCAAAAACUCCAAAAUAGAGCUGCUCGAAUUAUCAUGAAUAUGAGCAAUGACACAGAACAUUCUGUUGCUUUACAAGCAUUGAGCUGGGUGCCACUCAAAACGGAAAGACAAAAAGCUAAAGCAAAAUUAAUGUACAAAAUAAUAAAUAAAAUGGGUCCGGAGUCACUCACUAAUCUUUUCACAUAUAAAGGUGAGAUGACAAACUACAAUCUUCGGGAUAUUUCGAGUAGUCUUUGCUUACCUAAACCGCGUACAAAUAGCAUGAAAAAGAGUUUCAUGUAUGACGGAGCCUACCUUUGGAAUUCUAUUCUGAAGGAAAUUAGAGAAAGCAAAUCCUUUGCCUCUUUUAGGAAUAAAAUUGCUACUCACAUUAAUAGUAAUUGUAA